UGGGGAAUAUUGGACAAUGGGCGAAAGCCUGAUCCAGCCAUGCCGCGUGUGUGAAGAAGGUCUUCGGAUUGUAAAGCACUUUAAGUUGGGAGGAAGGGCAUUAACCUAAUACGUUAGUGUUUUGACGUUACCGACAGAAUAAGAACCGGCUAACUCUGUGCCAGCAGCCGCGGACAUACAGAGGGUGCAAGCGUUAAUCGGAAUUACUGGGCGUAAAGCGCGCGUAGGUGGUUUGUUAAGUUGGAUGUGAAAUCCCCGGGCUCAACCUGGGAACUGCAUUCAAAACUGACUGACUAGAGUAUGGUAGAGGGUGGUGGAAUUUCCUGUGUAGCGGUGAAAUGCGUAGAUAUAGGAAGGAACACCAGUGGCGAAGGCGACCACCUGGACUAAUACUGACACUGAGGUGCGAAAGCGUGGGGAGCAAACA
rnacentral:rRNA from 1 species